rnacentral:tRNA from 1 species
GCCGGUGUGUUGGAAUUGGCAGACGAGGCGGACUCAAAAUCCGUUGAUGGUGACAUCGUGUGGGUUCGAGUCCCACCACCGGCA